rnacentral:rRNA from 1 species
AUUGAACGCUGGCGGCAGGCCUAACACAUGCAAGUCGAACGAGUGGCGGACGGGUGAGUAAUGUCUGGGAAACUGCCUGAUGGAGGGGGAUAACUACUGGAAACGGUAGCUAAUACCGCAUACCAUCGGAUGUGCCCAGAUGGGAUUAGCUAGUGGGUGGGGUAAAGGCUCACCAAGGCUACGAUCCCUAGCUGGUCUGCGAGGCUGACCAGCAACACUGGAACUGAGACACGGUCCAGACUCCUCCGGGAGGCAGCAGUGGGGAAUAUUGCACAAUGGGCGCAAGCCUGAUGCAGCCAUGCCGCGUGUAUGAAGAAGGCCUUCGGGUUGUAAAGUACUUUCGGCGGAGAGGCGUUACCCGCAGAAGAAGCACCGGCUAACUCCGUGCCAGCAGCCGCGGUAAUAC